GACGAACGCUGGCGGCGUGCUUAACACAUGCAAGUCGAGCGGUAAGGCCCUUUCGGGGGUACACGAGCGGCGAACGGGUGAGUAACACGUGGGUGACCUGCCCUCAGCUCUGGGGAUAAGCCUGGGAAACCGGGUCUAAUACUGGAUAUGACUCCAUGACGCAUGUUGUGGGGUGGAAAGCCUUGUGCGGCUGAGGAUGGGCCCGCGGCCUAUCAGCUUGUUGGUGGGGUGAUGGCCUACCAAGGCGACGACGGGUAGCCGGCCGUGAGAGGGCGACCGGCCACACUGGGACUGAGACACGGCCCAGACUCCUACGGGAGGCGAGCAGUGGGGAAUCUUGCGCAAUGGGCGAAAGCCUGACGCAGCGACGCCGCGUGAGGGAU
rnacentral:rRNA from 1 species